rnacentral:rRNA from 1 species
GCUCUGUGGAUCAGUGGCGAACGGGUGAGUAACACGUGAGCAAUCUGCCCCUGACUCUGGGAUAAGCGCUGGAAACGGCGUCUAAUACCGGAUACGAGCUGCGAAGGCAUCUUCAGCAGCUGGAAAGAAUUUCGGUCAGGGAUGAGCUCGCGGCCUAUCAGCUUGUUGGUGAGGUAACGGCUCACCAAGGCGUCGACGGGUAGCCGGCCUGAGAGGGUGACCGGCCACACUGGGACUGAGACACGGCCCAGACUCCUACGGGAGGCAGCAGUGGGGAAUAUUGCACAAUGGGCGAAAGCCUGAUGCAGCAACGCCGCGUGAGGGACGACGGCCUUCGGGUUGUAAACCUCUUUUAGCAGGAAAGAAGCGAAAGUGACGGUACCUGCAGAAAAAGCGCCGGCUAACUACGUGCCAGCAGCCGCGGUAAUACGUAGGGCGCAAGCGUUAUCCGGAAUUAUUGGGCGUAAAGAGCUCGUAGGCGGUCUGUCGCGUCUGCUGUGAAAACCCGAGGCUCAACCUCGGGCCUGCAGUGGGUACGGGCAGACUAGAGUGCGGUAGGGGAGAUUGGAAUUCCUGGUGUAGCGGUGGAAUGCGCAGAU